CAUCCCACCAUAUUGUUCGCCAGAGUACUACAAGCGCUAGCUUAAAACCCAAAGGACUUGGCGGUAUCCCAUACCCACCUAGAGGAGCCUGUUCUAUAACCGAUAAUCCCCGUUCAACCUCACCACUUCUUGCCAUUACCGUCUAUAUACCGCCGUCGUCAGCCCACCCUGUGAAGGAUCAAAAGUAAGCAAAAAGAAUAAAACUCCAAAACGUCAGGUCGAGGUGUAGCAAAUGAAGUGGGAAGAAAUGGGCUACAUUUUUUUCCAAAAAUAUACGAAUGGUAAACUGAAAACACACCUAAAGGUGGAUUUAGCAGUAAGAGGAGAUCAGAAUACUCCCCUGAAAUCGGCUCUGGGAUAAGCACACACCGCCCGUCACUCUCCUCAAAAGUAACUCACUCCUUUCCAUAAAUACAUUUCUCCAAUAAGAGGAGGCAAGUCGUAACAUGGUAAGUGUACUGGAAAGUGCACUUGGAAUC
rnacentral:rRNA from 1 species